GUUAAAAAUUUUUUGCAAGGAAACGAUUUGUAUUCUCUAUUAUGGUAGUAUGCGUACGUUAUGCACUCUACAUUUUUUAAACAGUGCUUAUAUUUUUCAUACGUCUGGGUGCGGGUCGCAGGGCGCGGGCGGGAUAAGAGUCGGUCGCGGGGAGGGGCGGGUCGUGUGGCCUCUCACGUUUAGUACAGCGCUCAGCAGGAGUGUCGGACGCUCGGCUUUGCAGUCGCCGACUUUAGUAUUCUUCGUUUAUUUUCUUUUCUAUUCGUUUAAUUUGUGGCUCAGGUUUGAAAAACCAAACGUGUAAGGUUUCGUCGACGUGUGAUUUUUUGAUGUAAAGCUGUUUAACAGUAGUUUGUUUUGACAGUGUCACGUGUGGAAUUGGAUUAAUACCGAUACCGGAGUUUACUAAUUUACUAGUGUUUUUAACGUAUACAGCCUCCAUUUGCCGCAGGUAGAGCCGGCUAAUUGUCAAAAAAGUGUGUUUACUACUUCAAAAGUUACUUGCAGUUUUGGAUUUCUUGUGAAACCCCAGUUACGGUGCUUAUUAGUCGAUAAAGUGAUCUCAAAAACAAAAAGAAAAAAAAUUCAUGGAUUGGUUCUAAUAGGAUUCUGCUUGUAAACUUUGAAAGUGCGAUCAGUGCAGUGAAGUCUUCAAGUAUUUGUAACUUACAACAUAACCUUAUUCAAAAGAGGCGCGUGUUUCUUGAGCAUGCGCAGUUGGGUCCUCCAAAAUUAUUAAUAAGUGGCUCGUAAUUUUAUAAACAAACUUGUGUCGUGUGGUUAUGUGCCGGCUCUCAGUGGGUUGCUAAAACGAAGUUCACGAGUGUCAUCGAUAUUACUAAAAAAGGCGUUCAUUAUUUGAAAUUUUUCAAAAUUUUGAAUUGUAUUCAAGAAUAACGUUCACCUGUGGGAUUUCGGUGUUUUGUCUGCGCGCGCACGACUGUCUUUUUCUAAGGUAAUGGAAGGACUUUUUAUAGACAAGGUUGGUGGGCUUAAAGUAUUAAUCGAAUUAUACUAGAAAUUAUGAACUAAAAUAUGCUUAUCUCAAAUCGGUAGCUUUUUAAGUUUACUUAAGUUGCUAACAAUACUUAAGUGUCAGGUUUGUCAGAUUCUGCAGAGAAGGAUAACUAUUCUUAAAAAUUCUUUGUUCCUAAUCAAAAAAUAAAAAAAUAAAAUAAUAUAUUUAAUGAAAUGAAUAAAAUAGAUA
rnacentral:misc_RNA from 1 species